UGCAGCCACCGCAUCAGCCAGCGAGGAGGGCAAGGAUGCCGGAUCUGGUGACCCCAACCUCCUUGUCGGUGGAUUUAGCUGGCCGGG
rnacentral:pre_miRNA from 1 species